ACAGCCCGUGAGCCAGGACAGGGCCAGGCGGGUGCAGGCAGUUUCUGUCUGGAACUUCUCAGCCCAGACUUGAAAGCUGCUCUGGGGACCUGGGGGUGUGGAUUCCAGGGCUGGUGACACCCAGGUCACCUGGCUCCUGCAGGAGUCUCCGUCAACUUUGUGUCCUCAGCAGAGGGCAGGCCUGCGGGGUGAGGGUCUGGGGUCUCUGUGCAUCUCUGAGCAGGAUGGGUCCCCGGCCAGGGAAGCUGCUGGGCGGGGAGCACAGGACUGACAGCCUGAGGAUUGUGGUUCAAACCCCAGCACAGCUGAUGCCAGUCUCCGCUGCUGUCUCUCAGUUGCCAGUCACCACAGCAACCCCUAGUCACCACAGGAGCCCCCAUCACCACAGGAGACCCCCAGUCACUGUCUGGCCAUCCCAUCCCCCAGUCUGUGUUUCCAUGUUGCUCCCUUCAGACUAAUUCAGGGAAGGCUCUGCCACCCCCACCCAUAGGCCCUCAGCAGUCGAGCUGCCCUCCGGCUUCACUACCUGACCGGGUCACCCCGUUCGUGUCCCCGUCUGCCCCUCGGCUUCACUGCUUGACCGGGUCACCUUGUCCUUGUGCCCGUCUGCUCUUGGUGGCCACCCCCAGGCUGCGUUCCUGUUUUCACUUCAUUAAAAUACCCCCAGAGCGUCUGUCUUGGACCCGGAUCCAUUUAGAAAUGUGAAGUCUGCUGUCCAGGCGUUUGGGGCACUUUCCAGGCUCCUUUCAGACGUUGACUUGUGGCUGAAUUUCAUUAGAGCAGAGAACAUU